rnacentral:misc_RNA from 1 species
UCCGGUUUGUCACCGGCAGUCCCAUUAGAGUGCUCAACUGAAUGUAGCAACUAAUGGCAAGGGUUGCGCUCGUUGCGGGACUUAACCCAACAUCUCACGACGCGAGCUGACGACAGCCAUGCAGCAUCUGUGGUGCACCCUCGAAGGUCACACGUUUCCGUGCGCUUGCAGCACCAUGUCAAGCCCAGGUAAGGUUCUUCGCGUUGCAUCGAAUUAAAGAACAUGCUCCGCUGCUUGUGCGGGCCCCCGUCAAUUCCUUUGAGUUUCGGUCUUGCGACCGUACUCCCCAGGCGGGGCGCUUAAUGCGUUAGCUGCGGCACAGGGAACCGGAGAGGCCCCCCACACCUAGCGCCCAACGUUUACAGCGUGGACUAC